rnacentral:rRNA from 1 species
UACAGAGGUCUCAAGCGUUGUUCGGAUUCAUUGGGCGUAAAGGGUGCGUAGGUGGCGGGGUAAGUCAGGUGUGAAAUUUCGGAGCUUAACUCCGAAACUGCAUUUGAUACUGCCUUGCUUGAGGACUGGAGAGGAGACUGGAAUUCACGGUGUAGCAGUGAAAUGCGUAGAUAUCUGGAGGAAUACCGGUGGCGAAGGCGGCAUUCUGGACCGACAUUGACACUAAAGCGCGAAAGCCAGGGGAGCAAACGGG